rnacentral:rRNA from 1 species
CAGUCGAACGCAGUAGCAAUACUGAGUGGCAGACGGGUGAGUAACAUGUGGGAAUCUGCCUUGUGGUUCAGGACAACAUUGGGAAACCGAUGCUAAUACUGGAUAAGCCCUUACGGGGAAAGUUUUAAUGCCAUAAGAUGAGCCCGCAUUUGAUUAGUUAGUUGGUGAGGUAAUGGCUCACCAAGACAAUGAUCAAUAGCUGAUCUGAGAGGAUGAUCAGCCACACUGGGACUGAGACACGGCCCAGACUCCUACGGGAGGCAGCAGUGGGGAAUCCUGCACAAUGGAGGAAACUCUGAUGCAGCGAUGCCGCGUGAGUGAAGAAGGCCUUUGGGUUGUAAAGCUCUUUUGUAGGGGAAGAUAAUGACUGUACCCUAAGAAUAAGGUCCGGCUAACUUCGUGCCAGCAGCCGCGGUAAUACGAAGGGACCUAGCGUAGUUCGGAAUUACUGGGCGUAAAGCGCGCGUAGGCCGUUGAGUUAGUUAAUUGUGAAAUCCCAAAGCUUAACUUUGGAACUGCAAUUAAAACUGCUCGACUAGAGUUUGAUAGAGGAAAGCGGAAUACAUAGUGUAGAGGUGAAAUUCGUAGAUAUUAUGUAGAACACCAGUUGCGAAGGCGGCUUUCUGGAUCAACACUGACGCUGAGGCGCGAAAGUAUGGGUAGCAAAGAGGAUUAGAUACCCUCGUAGUCCAUACCAUAAACGAUGAUUGCUAGAUGUUGGAAAUUUAUUUUCAGUAUCGCAGCUAACGCAUUAAGCAAUCCGCCUGGGGAGUACGACCGCAAGGUUAAAACUCAAAUGAAUUGACAGG